rnacentral:rRNA from 1 species
UUUGUGGUAUUUACAGGUUCGGUAAACAAGGGUCUUCCUUUUGGGUGGAGCAGCGGAGGGAGUCAUUA